rnacentral:rRNA from 1 species
GCAUAUCAAUAAGCGGAGGAAAAGAAACCAACAGGGAUUGCCCUAGUAACGGCGAGUGAAGCGGCAACAGCUCAAAUUUGAAAUCUGGCGUCUUUGGCGUCCGAGUUGUAAUUUGCAGAGGGCGCUUUGGCAUUGGCAGCGGUCCAAGUUCCUUGGAACAGGACGUCACAGAGGGUGAGAAUCCCGUACGUGGUCGCUAGCCUUUACCGUGUAGAGCCCCUUCGACGAGUCGAGUUGUUUGGGAAUGCAGCUCUAAAUGGGAGGUAAAUUUCUUCUAAAGCUAAAUACUGGCCAGAGACCGAUAGCGCACAAGUAGAGUGAUCGAAAGAUGAAAAGCACUUUGGAAAGAGAGUUAAAAAGCACGUGAAAUUGUUGAAAGGGAAGCGCUUGCAGCCAGACUUGCCUGUAGUUGCUCAUCCGGGUUUUUACCCGGUGCACUCUUCUAUAGGCAGGCCAGCAUCAGUUUGGGCGGUUGGAUAAAGGUCUCUGUCAUGUACCUCUCUUCGGGGAGAACUUAUAGGGGAGACGACAUGCAACCAGCCUGGACUGAGGUCCGCGCAUCUGCUAGG